CUCUUUCUGCCCCUUCCUCAUCGGGAUCCUCCCCGAUCCAAAAUCAUCCCCUCGUUUUCAGCCUCGAGCCAACCGGUGCCGGCCGUCUUCGCCUUCAACAACCCACCAACCAGAGCAGCCAGCCCCGCUCCUCGUGCUUGUUUGCCUCCCGUGCUGGAGCGCGCCGCAACCAGCUCGCCGGAGCCGAGCUCCUCCUGCUGAUGCCCUCCGCCACCCAGGCGAGCCCCCGUCGCGCCCGAUGCCUCUGCCUCGACUAGCGCCAUCCCAUCCGCGUCUCCUCUGCCUCGUCCCUGCCACCAGCAGCAGGAGCAGCUCCUGCAUCUCUGAACCCCGAGCACCUCCACCGUCGUCGUCUAAGAUGAGCGCCGCCCUAGUUCCCUUUCUCUCUUUCCUCCGGUUCGCUCUUCUCAUCUCUCUCUCUGUGCGUUGCAGCAGCAGCCUCGCGCCAUGGAGCUCCAAGCCUGCCAGCCCGCCUCCGCUUCGAUCCGGCAGGGAAAGGGACCCCGGCGACCUCCUGCGACCGGAUCCGGGGAACCGAGCCGCCAUGUCCGUCGCCUUCAUUUGUCCCACGCUAGGAGACCGACUACAGCCUCCUGCCGUCGCUCGAAUCCGCGCCGCUUCGUCUCCGGCCCCUGCCCGCCGGAGUCGCGCCUCCUUGUGCCCCGCAGCCCCGCUGCAUCGCGCUUCUGCUUCUGUUCUUCAGAAACGAGCACCCACCAAAGCCUGCUUCCCCGCGUUGACCAGCAUCGCUGCUCCCUGAUCCAGUGCCUGGGCCGGCCUCGCCUCGUUCCUCAUCGCGCCUCGCCCGCGGCCCACCAAGGCGCUGCAGCCCAGCCUCUCCACCAGUCGGGCCUCAGCCCAUGGUUCCGGUAAUGUUGCGAUUGUGAGGAUU